rnacentral:rRNA from 1 species
AACGAACGCUGGCGGCAGGCUUAACACAUGCAAGUCGAACGCCCCGCAAGGGGAGUGGCAGACGGGUGAGUAACGCGUGGGAACAUACCCUUUCCUGCGGAAUAGCUCUGGGAAACUGGAAUUAGUACCGCAUACGCCCUACGGGGGAAAGAUUUAUCGGGGAAGGAUUGGCCCGCGUUGGAUUAGCUAGUUGGUGGGGUAAAGGCCUACCAAGGCGACGAUCCAUAGCGGGUCUGAGAGGAUGAUCAGCCACAUUGGGACUGAGACACGGCCCAAACUCCUACGGGAGGCAGCAGUGGGGAAUAUUGGACAAUGGGCGCAAGCCUGAUCCAGCCAUGCCGCGUGAGUGAUGAAGGCCUUAGGGUUGUAAAGCUCUUUCACCGAUGAAGAUAAUGACGGUAGUCGGAGAAGAAGCCCCGGCUAACUUCGUGCCAGCCGCCGCCGUAAUAC